UACGUAGGGUCCGAGCGUUGUCCGGAAUUACUGGGCGUAAAGCGCGCGCAGGCGGUUGGUCGCCUCGGCGGUGAAAAGCCCCCCGCUUAACGGGGGAGGGUCCGUCGAGAUGGGCCAACUGGAGGCAGGGAGAGGGCGGUGGAAUUCCGGGUGUAGUGGUGAAAUGCGUAGAGAUCCGGAGGAACACCAGUGGCGAAGGCGGCCGCCUGGACCUGACCUGACGCUGAGGCGCGAAGGCGCGGGGAGCGAACGGG
rnacentral:rRNA from 1 species